rnacentral:rRNA from 1 species
AGUGAACGCUGGCGGUAGGCCUAACACAUGCAAGUCGAACGGCAGCACAGGAGAGCUUGCUCUCUGGGUGGCGAGUGGCGGACGGGUGAGGAAUACAUCGGAAUCUACUCUGUCGUGGGGGAUAACGUAGGGAAACUUACGCUAAUACCGCAUACGACCUACGGGUGAAAGCAGGGGAUCUUCGGACCUUGCGCGAUUGAAUGAGCCGAUGUCGGAUUAGCUAGUUGGCGGGGUAAAGGCCCACCAAGGCGACGAUCCGUAGCUGGUCUGAGAGGAUGAUCAGCCACACUGGAACUGAGACACGGUCCAGACUCCUACGGGAGGCAGCAGUGGGGAAUAUUGGACAAUGGGCGCAAGCCUGAUCCAGCCAUACCGCGUGGGUGAAGAAGGCCUUCGGGUUGUAAAGCCCUUUUGUUGGGAAAGAAAUCCAGCUGGUUAAUACCCGGUUGGGAUGACGGUACCCAAAGAAUAAGCACCGGCUAACUUCGUGCCAGCAGCCGCGGUAAUACGAAGGGUGCAAGCGUUACUCGGAAUUACUGGGCGUAAAGCGUGCGUAGGUGGUUAUUUAAGUCCGUUGUGAAAGCCCUGGGCUCAACCUGGGAACUGCAGUGGAUACUGGAUGACUAGAAUGUGGUAGAGGGUAGCGGAAUUCCUGGUGUAGCAGUGAAAUGCGUAGAGAUCNNGAGGAACAUCCAUGGCGAAGGCAGCUACCUGGACCAACAUUGACACUGAGGCACGAAAGCGUGGGGAGCAAACAGG